CAGCAGUAGGGAAUCUUCCGCAAUGGACGAAAGUCUGACGGAGCAACGCCGCGUGAGUGAUGAAGGUUUUCGGAUCGUAAAGCUCUGUUGUUAGGGAAGAACAAGUACCGUUCGAAUAGGGCGGUACCUUGACGGUACCUAACCAGAAAGCCACGGCUAACUACGUGCCAGCAGCCGCGGUAAUACGUAGGUGGCAAGCGUUGUCCGGAAUUAUUGGGCGUAAAGGGCUCGCAGGCGGUUUCUUAAGUCUGAUGUGAAAGCCCCCGGCUCAACCGGGGAGGGUCAUUGGAAACUGGGGAACUUGAGUGCAGAAGAGGAGGGUGGAAUUCCACGUGUAGCGGUGAAAUGCGUAGAGAUGUGGAGGAACACCAGUGGCGAAGGC
rnacentral:rRNA from 1 species